UACGUAGGGACCGAGCGUUGUCCGGAAUCAUUGGGCGUAAAGAGCGUGUAGGCGGCCUCUUAAGUCCUGCGUGAAAUCCUGCGGCUCAACCGCAGACGGUCGUGGGAAACUGGAAGGCUAGAGUGCGGGAGAGGAGAGUGGAAUUCCCGGUGUAGCGGUGAAAUGCGUAGAUAUCAAGAGGAACACCUGCGGCGAAGGCGGGUUGCUGGGCUGACACUGACGCUGAAGCGCGAAAGCCAGGGGAGCGAACGGG
rnacentral:rRNA from 1 species